rnacentral:lncRNA from 1 species
CAUUUUCAUGCCCAAAGGUUGGGUGUUCUCUCUUAACACAUCUACAAGGAGUUCUGGUGACUUAGAGAUCAAGAAUCAAGGAGAAGAAGAAGAAAGCUGCAGAUCAAGGAGUUGAUCUCUCAGUUAAGAUCAAAAGAGUUGAUCAGAGUCCUCAAGGUCAAAGUUCUUCUUGAGAAGAAGAAUCUUCUAUGAGAAGAAAAAUUUGAGAUUGAUCCCGAUGGAUAUCUGU